rfam:Schistosoma curassoni strain Dakar, Senegal genome assembly, scaffold: SCTD_scaffold0004030
AUCUAGCUGAAAAGUCCCAAAUAGGACGGGACUCGCGUCCUAGAU